rnacentral:rRNA from 1 species
UACGAAGGGGGCUAGCGUUGCUCGGAAUCACUGGGCGUAAAGCGCACGUAGGCGGCUUUUCAAGUCAGGGGUGAAAUCCCACGGCUCAACCGUGGAAUUGCCUUUGAAACUGUAAAGCUGGAGUGUCGGAGGGGAUAGCGGAAUUGCUAAUGUAGAGGUGAAAUUCGUAGAUAUUAGCAGGAACACCGGUGGCGAAGGCGGCUAUCUGGACGACAACUGACGCUGAGGCGCGAAAGCGUGGGGAUCAAACAGG